rnacentral:rRNA from 1 species
ACUGACCGAUAGUGAACCAGUACCGUGAGGGAAAGGCGAAAAGAACCCCUGUGAGGGGAGUGAAAUAGAACCUGAAACCGUGUACGUACAAGCAGUAGGAGCAGGCUUUGUCCUGUGACUGCGUACCUUUUGUAUAAUGGGUCAGCGACUUAUAUUCAGUGGCAAGGUUAACCAUCUAGGGGAGCCGUAGGGAAACCGAGUCUUAACUGGGCGUUCAGUCUCUGGAUAUAGACCCGAAACCAGGUGAUCUAGCCAUGGGCAGGUUGAAGGUUGAGUAACAUCAACUGGAGGACCGAACCGACUAAUGUUGAAAAAUUAGCGGAUGACUUGUGGCUAGGGGUGAAAGGCCAAUCAAACCUGGAGAUAGCUGGUUCUCCCCGAAAGCUAUUUAGGUAGCGCCUCGGACGAAUACUACUGGGGGUAGAGCACUGUUAAGGCUAGGGGGUCAUCCCGACUUACCAACCCUUUGCAAACUCCGAAUACCAGUAAGUACUAUC